GACGAACGCUGGCGGCGUGCUUAACACAUGCAAGUCGAGCGGUAAGGCCUUUCGGGGUACACGAGUGGCGAACGGGUGAGUAACACGUGGGUGAUCUGCCCUGCACUUCGGGAUAAGCCCGGGAAACUGGGUCUAAUACCGGAUAGGACUGCGCGGUGCAUGCCGUGUGGUGGAAAGAUUUAUCGGUGCAGGAUGGGCCCGCGGCCUAUCAGCUUGUUGGUGGGGUAAUGGCCUACCAAGGCGACGACGGGUAGCCGGCCUGAGAGGGCGACCGGCCACACUGGGACUGAGACACGGCCCAGACUCCUACGGGAGGCAGCAGUGGGGAAUAUUGCACAAUGGGCGCAAGCCUGAUGCAGCGACGCCGCGUGAGGGAUGACGGCCUUCGGGUUGUAAACCUCUUUCAGCAGGGACGAAGCGUGAGUGACGGUACCUGCAGAAGAAGCACCGGCCAACUACGUG
rnacentral:rRNA from 1 species